AUGAAUUGCUUAAGUUGGAAUUGUCGAGGGGCGGGGAACCCUCAAAAAGUUCGCGAUCUUGCGGCCCUUGUGGCCGCCCAUUCCCUGAAGUUGUUUUUUUUGUGUGAAACUAGACAUCCUAGAGAUAAAAUGUUUCGUCUUUGUUCUCGUUUAGGUCUUUCGGAUUUUGAAGGAAUUAGUAGUGAAGGCAUGAGUGGAGGUCUUGCUUUAUUUUGGGACGAGUCUGUAUCAGUUCAAGUCCAAGAAGUCAAUAAAAGAUGGAUUGAUGUGUAUGUCAGGGUGAACCUAGGGUUGAGAACAAGCAUCUCAUGUGGGACUCUUUGCGUCGCCACCAUGGAAUCAGUGAUCUUCCGUGGAUGA
rnacentral:rRNA from 1 species